UGCCCUCUCUCUCCCUAUUUGUUCCAAGCAUGUCACACAAUUCUCAUGGAGAGGUACCAGCUCUGUAUUCAAAAUAUGGUAGAUUGACAAUGGAAAAAGAAAAGGCAGAUGCUAAAUGGUCAUUGGAAAUCCUCUCUUUCCCUCUGUUCUCCUCUGAGCAAGACUCUCAUGGAAAGACACUCACCCUAAAUACAGAGGAAAAUACCAUCAGUGAAGACAGAGAUUUGAAGAAUCUGAAUGAACAGGACCUGUUCAGCAUCCAGGUUCUUAGGAUUUGGGGGUAGAUACAGCUUCCAUCCUGGCUAUUCGAGUUACUGUGCAUAACCACGUUGCCAGGACAUGUAGACUCCCGAGGCUCAACUGGAAACAAAAGCAGAAAAGAAAAGAAACAGACUGCGAUUUCUGUGAUGGAGGAAGGCAGAAGGUGGGGUCUGCAAGAGAAGCUCACUCCAGGGAAACUUAGACAAGGGAACAUCCUGAUACUGCCCAGAGGAUCCUGGCAUCAGACACCUGAGGCUGUGAAUGGCAUCCAUGCAUGGAAAGCUCUGGCAACAAGUUCUAGGAAAGUGGUUUUUAUUUGAACUCAUUCUAAAGAAUUUCCUGAGGUACUCCAGCCAGGGCCUCAGUCAGAGGCACACUUGUGACUUUGGUCAGAAUGUGCCACCAUACCAGUUCCUUUCACACACAGGUGUGUCAUCAGAGCUCAACGACUAAGCAAAGUAAGUACUUACAUGAAGUAAGAAAGUAAGAAAGCACUGCCCUCUAUGCACAAACCCCUCGCAGACCUUGGAAGGAAUCUUCUUGACUAGAGAAUUAGUCUAGACCAGUGGGGCACCAAGUAGUGGACCAAGGAUGGCAGGGUCUUACCUGCAGGCAAAGGGCGAUGCAGAGUCUGCAGAAAAUUAAAAAAAUAGUCAUAAAGGCCGGGCGGUGGUGGCACAUGCCUUUAAUCCCAGCGCUCGGGAGGCAGAGGCAGGCAGAUCUCUGUGAGUUCAAGGCCAGCCUGGGCUACAGAGUGAGUUCCAGGACAGUUUCCAAAGCUACACAGAGAAACCCUGUCUCG